rnacentral:sRNA from 1 species
GUUAGGAAUGUAGAUGUGAGCCACUGGCGACCAACUAGGAGGAUCAUUUUGAGUCUAGGAGUUCUGGGUUGUAUAUUACUAUGCUGAUUGGGUAUCUGCACUACACUAAUGUGGUGAAUUUCUACCAGUGGGAGAUUACCAGGUUACCUAAGGAGAGGUAAACCACCCUAGGAUGGAAACAGCAGUUCAUUAGUGAGACUGUACCUGUGAGUAGCCACUGAACUCUAAUCUGGGCAACAUACUGAGACUCUUUAUCU